rnacentral:rRNA from 1 species
AUUGAACGCUUGCGGCAGGCCUAACACAUGCAAGUCGAACGAGUGGCGGACGGGUGAGUAAUGUCUGGGAAACUGCCCGAUGGCGGGGGAUAACUACUGGAAACGGUAGCUAAUACCGCAUACCAUCGGAUGUGCCCAGAUGGGAUUAGCUAGUAGGUGGGGUAACGGCUAACCUAGGCGACGAUCCCUAGCUGGUCUGAGAGGAUGACCGGCAACACUGAAACUGAGACACGGUCCAGACUCCUACGGGAGGCAGCAGUAGGGAAUAUUGCACAAUGGGCGCGAGCCUGAUGCAGCCAUGCCGCGUGUAUGGAGAAGGCCUUCGGGUUGUAAAGUACUUUCAGCGAGGAGGCGUUACUCGCAGAAGAAGCACCGGCUAACUCCGUGCCAGCAGCCGCGGUAAUUC